rnacentral:misc_RNA from 1 species
UUGUGGUGUGAUAAAAAUACGUUAGUAAUCAAUUGCAACUCCAACAGCAUAGACAUUUCUCGUCUUUAAAGCGCGUCUAGUCGUUGUGUUUUUCUUAAAUCCAUAAACGUGUAUAUUUUUUUUAACCCCCCAAAAAUUCAAACACCAUAAAACGGAGGAUACUCUAUAAAGUGUAUUAAAUAAAAAACAUUAACACCAACAACAAGUUUCUACGUUUCUACUAAAAAAUUUUAGUUUAGUCAACGUUUUGGUUUAUUGUAAAAAACCUCAUAAAAGUUGUUGGUUUAUAAAACAGUUUUGUAUAAAACAGUUUUAUUUUGUUUUAAAGCAAUACCCCUCUCCAAAUACCCAUAACACACAUACACACUAACACAGCCAAAAUGAGGCCAUAUUUAAUAACAUUUGCCUGUCUCUGCUCUGCCCUCGCUUUUGUAACAGCCGUACCAGUGCCUGCCUCCAAUCAGGAACUAGAUGUGCUACAGAUUCCACUAUCAAAUGGAAAGGAAUUGGAUGUUUUAACAUUGGGCUCCCGAGACCAAGAACAAUUAAUAGCAGAACGUAAUAAAAGAACAAUAGGUUUAUUACGUGAUCUGUUUCCCGAUAUAACUAAGCAAAUUGAUGGUAUAGUAAAUCGUAUUAUAGCUCAAGUAAUACGAGUAGCUGGACCCGAUGUUUUGCGUUCUGUAUUGGGUAGUAAUCGUAAUAUGACACCCCGGCCUAAUUUGGCAGCCGAUUUCGAUGAUGAUGACGAUGAUGAAGAUGAUGUAAAUAAAAUAGAUAAUGAUAGUAAAGCGACUACGACAACAUCUGCAGGUGGUGAUAAUACUAGGGUACAAAUUGACUUACCAACAUUUCCACCAGAAACUGCACAAGCCGAUGCCACAAAUAAAGUGAGUUCGAGCAGUUUCGACAGCAGCUCAAAUCCAACCUCAACCUUAACUACUCCUACCACAACUUCAACAACUAGCAGUACUACCACUCCUUCUACUACCUCUUCCUCGACCACUACGACCACCACCUUAGCUCCUUCUACCACUACUACUACCACCACCUCUACGACAACUGAAAGUCCCAUUUUAAUUAUUGCGCCUAUUACUACCACCACCACUCCUAUUCCCACUACUAGUACAACUUCAACAACCACUUCUACUCCCAAACCCGAUAUUACCCUUAAUGUACCCAAUUCAAUAACCUCAUCAAUGGUGAAUUCAUUAACAACUUCUCUACAAAAUGAAAUCAAUUCAAAUACCGAAACGAGAGCUGUUAAUGAAUCGCAAUUGAUAGCUAUUGUUGAAAGUUUAAAUCGUUUAUUAAAUUCUACAAAUUAUUUUGUUGCCACCAGAGAUAAUUUCUCCAACUCAUCACAACCAACAGCAACAACUUCAACUAUAACAGCAGAUUCAACAACAACACCAAAAAUUACCAAAUUAUUACCAGUCAAUAAUUAAAAUACAACUCUGUAAUUAUUCGACCAAAAAAUAAAAAAAACAAAACGAAGCUGACCUUCAAAAACACAACGCUUUAUCAAACAAACAAUUCUACGCUCUAAUCAUUUCUGGAAUUAUGAAAAAAAUUUAUCAUUUUGAGUUCAUCUGGCAUCAAUGGUGCCACUGAUACACAAAUUGAUUUAUCGGCCAUUAA